rnacentral:lncRNA from 1 species
UGUUGCUGAUCUCUUCUUCUUCUGUUUGCAUUCUAACUUCCAGGUAUUUGCUCCUAUUUCGUUGUACUGCUGUUGAUUUGAAAUGAAGAUGAAUAGAAACAUGAUAGUUUCAGAUUCAUUUAAUCUAAAUUCACUCUAUGUAUAUUGAUGUAUUCAUCCUUCAUUGCAUCUGAAUGUAUACCUAGAUUUGUUUGACGUGAUUAGUACUGUUCUGGAAUGGAUAGUGUUUUCAGUUAGUGAGAUCUUCAUUGUAAUUAAUUUGAACUAUAUCAGACUGUGGAGUGUUUGGCUGCGGUUAUCCAGUUAAACAUUAGCUUUAGUAUACCU